rnacentral:lncRNA from 13 species
UAAAAUGUCUUAAAGAUACCUUACAGAUAAUUUUAGCAAAGAUAUCUUUAAAACAUCUUUUAGUCGUCUUAUGACCUAAUUUUGGACUUUGUAUUGUUUUUCAAAUUUGUUCUUCUCUUUAAUUAUAUAGAAAGUUAAAAAAAAAGAUUUUUUAAAUAUGAAACGUACUAUCAUUAAACUACUAUAUGUUUAAAAGGUUUUAUUCCACAGAAUUAAAUAUUAUUGUCAGAACUGUUGAUCUACGAAAGGAAUUCGUUGUGCGGAUUAAGGUCAAUAUAAUUUUCAUGAUCGAAUAUUGGAUCUAUUACACUGCAAGAAGAAAAUGGGAAGAAAAAACGUUUGCGAUGCAAUAAAAGAAUAUGCUUUAUACGUACAUUUCAA